rnacentral:rRNA from 1 species
GGGCGCAAGCCUGAUGCAGCCAUGCCGCGUGUGUGAAGAAGGCCUUCGGGUUGUAAAGCUCUUUCAGCGGGGAGGAAGGCGGUGAGGUUAAUAACCUCAGCGCUUGACGUUACCCGCACAAGAAGCACCGGCUAACUCCGUGCCAGCAGCCGCGGUAAUAC